UUUUGUAGGUAUAAGGAAAUCAAAUGGGAUCCGAAACAAUUGAUUGGAUAUGGUGGAAUGUCGUCUUCGUAUUCAGCUACUGUUAUUGCUGUUACUACGGCGAUCUGAAGAUGGAGCAAGAAACCAGUGUCUAAUACUGGGGCAAUUUUAUUCUUUUGACUGUCAUGGUUCCGUUGAAACAUGUGCAUAUGAUUUAGGUAUGAAGUCUGUUGGUGUGAAAGUGGCUAAAGAAUAUGGAUCAAUAAAGGUAGUGUAAGCUUACCAUUGGUUUCUAUAUGAUAAAUAUUUGUAUGUUCAUUUAUUGUUAUUUGUAUUUCGCUCAGGUUGAUGAAUACUCUCAAACACAGGUUCCUUAUAUUUUUAUCACCGAGUUGUCUUUGGCUAUUUUAACAGUAUGUGCAGCCCUGAAAGAACAAAUGCUUUUGAUGAAUGAAAAAAGACUCCUUUCAGUCUUAUCUGCCAUCACUGAACUCAUUGAUGCCCUUUCAGAUCAACGCUCAAAUUCACACACUGGAUUAUCACUUCAAAUUCAAUGAUUUGAUUAAUUGAAAUAAGUUUAUUCCUUUUUAACCUUUCGAGUUUUGAUUUACCCUUUUGCUUCAUUUCACUAUAUGAUCGAGUUUUACUUCUAUUUACAGUUACUAGGAAGUUGAGAAGUUGAUGUUUAAGUCUCU